GACGAACGCUGGCGGCGUGCUUAACACAUGCCAGUCGUACGGUAAGGCCCUUUCGGGGGUACACGAGUGGCGAACGGGUGAGUAACACGUGAGUAACCUGCCCACAACUUUGGGAUAACGCUAGGAAACUGGUGCUAAUACUGGAUAUGUGCUCCUGCUGCAUGGUGGGGGUUGGAAAGCUCCGGCGGUUGUGGAUGGACUCGCGGCCUAUCAGCUUGUUGGUGGGGUAGUGGCCUACCAAGGCGGCGACGGGUAGCCGGCCUGAGAGGGUGACCGGCCACAUUGGGACUGAGAUACGGCCCAGACACCUACGGGAGGCAGCAGUGGGGAAUAUUGCACAAUGGGCGCAAGCCUGAUGCAGCAACGCCGCGUGCGGGAUGACGGCCUUCGGGUUGUAAACCGCUUUCAGCAGGGACGAAGCUUUUUGUGACGGUACCUGCAGAAGAAGCACCGGCUAACUACGUG
rnacentral:rRNA from 1 species